rnacentral:rRNA from 1 species
AGAGUCUCUUCCUGGCUCAGAUUGAACGCUGGCGGCGUGCUUAACACAUGCAAGUCGAACGCGAAAGGGGGCUUCGGCUCCCGAGUAGAGUGGCGCACGGGUGAGUAACGCGUGGAUAAUCUGCCCUCUUGUUCGGGAUAACUGCUGGAAACGGCAGCUAAUACCGGAUAAGCUCCACCAAUUGUAUGGUGGAGGAAAGGAGGCCUCUUCAUGAAAGCUUCCGCGAGGGGAUGAGUCCGCGUCCCAUUAGCUAGUUGGUGAGGUAACGGCCCACCAAGGCAACGAUGGGUAGCCGGUCUAAGAGGAUGACCGGCCACACUGGAACUGAAACACGGUCCAGACUCCUACGGGAGGCAGCAGUGGGGAAUAUUGCGCAAUGGACGAAAGUCUGACGCAGCGACGCCGCGUGAGGGAUGAAGGUUUUCGGAUCGUAAACCUCUGUCAGGAGGGAAGAAAGCGCAUGGCGCCAAUCAGCCAUGCGUUGACGGUACCUCCAAAGGAAGCGCCGGCUAACUCCGUGCCAGCAGCCGCGGUAAUACGGAGGGCGCGAGCGUUAAUCGGAAUUACUGGGCGUAAAGCGCGCGUAGGCUGUUGUGUAAGUUGGGGGUGAAAUCCCACGGCUCAACCGUGGAACAGCCCUUGAUACUGCGCGACUUGAAUCCGGGAGAGGGUGGCGGAAUUCCAGGUGUAGGAGUGAAAUCCGUAGAUAUCUGGAGGAACAUCAGUGGCGAAGGCGGCCACCUGGACCGGUAUUGACGCUGAGGCGCGAAAGCGUGGGGAGCAAACAGGAUUAGAUACCCUGGUAGUCCACGCUGUAAACGAU